CAAACUGUGGCACUACCUACCCAUAUCUUCCAGGCCCUUUUGUCCCCUCACCUGGGCGCCCUUGCUGCAUGGCGGAUACACUCCCUCCCAGUCCCAUCAUAGCACCUCUUAGAGCCUCAGUCUCUAUGGCACCAUAGGGUCAUCCUCUCCUCCCACCUACCUCACAGGGUUGUUGUGAGAAUCAGGGAGGAUCAUGGGGUUCCUGGGAGCCCUGAGUGUGUUGGGGCUACAAUCAUUACCUUCUUAGGGGAAGGGCUCUAGCCCCGCCCCUGUAUGGGACACUAUGGCCUCAGAUACUGGUGGGGGACAAUGUGAGGACUUUGCCAGGCAGGAAGGAAGUUACAGGCUUAACAGCACCUUGGCCACCACUUCUCUGUGCCACCGUGUGUUUGGCAGCAGAGUACAGUGUCCAGGGACUUGGGAUGGGGAAGGGGACAGGUGUAACGGGUUGAGCUGUCCCGCCCGUGUCUUGACCACCCCGGGAUGGGCACAUGUCUGUCAGUUGUGUCCCACCCGCCAUGAAAUAAAGCUGAACAAACAGGCUUGGCCUGGCUGC
rnacentral:lncRNA from 1 species